UUAAGCGUGAGCUAACUCAAAGCUAUUGGGCCCAUAACCCAAAAAUGGUUGUACCCCGCUUAAA
rnacentral:tRNA from 1 species